rnacentral:rRNA from 1 species
CCUACGGGGGGCAGCAGUGGGGAAUAUUGGACAAUGGGGGGAACCCUGAUCCAGCCAUGCCGCGUGUGUGAAGAAGGCCCUCGGGUUGUAAAGCACUUUCAGUGAGGAAGAACGCCUGGUGGUUAAUACCCAUCAGGAAAGACAUCACUCACAGAAGAAGCAUCGGCUAACUCCGUGCCAGCAGCCGCGGUAAUACGGAGGGUGCGAGCGUUAAUCGGAAUUACUGGGCGUAAAGCGCGCGUAGGUGGCUUGAUAAGCCGGUUGUGAAAGCCCCGGGCUCAACCUGGGAACGGCAUCCGGAACUGUCAAGCUAGAGUGCAGGAGAGGAAGGUAGAAUUCCCGGUGUAGCGGUGAAAUGCGUAGAGAUCGGGAGGAAUACCAGUGGCGAAGGCGGCCUUCUGGACUGACACUGACACUGAGGUGCGAAAGCGUGGGUAGCAAACAGGAUUAGAUACCCCGGUAGUC